rnacentral:rRNA from 1 species
GAGAUGUGGGUAGUCCGCACGAGCGCACCUCACUUUUAGUUGCCAUCAUUAAGUUGGGCACUCUGAAAGAACUGCCAGUGAUAAGCUGGAGGAAGGUGGGGAUGACGUCAAGUCCUCAUGGCCCUUACGUGUUGGGCUACACACGUGCUACAAUGGCAUCUACAACAGGAAGCAAAACGGCAACGUUAAGCAAAUCCCGAAAAGACGCCUCAGUUCGGAUUGCACUCUGCAACUCGAGUGCAUGAAGCUGGAAUUACUAGUAAUCGCGGAUCAGCGCGCCGCGGUGAAUACGUUCCCGGGUCUUGUACACACCGCCCGUCACACCAUGGAAGUUGGUUACACCUUAAGGCAAAGCUUAAAACCUUUGACUACGGUACGAUCAGCGACUGGGGUGAAGUCGUAACAAGGUAGCCGUAGGGGAACCUGCGGCUGGAUCACCUCCUUUCU